rnacentral:tRNA from 1 species
AGGAAGGCAUUCGCAUCCGGUGGUGCGGCUGGGCUUCAAACCCAGUAGGGGGUGUCAGACACUCCCUGGUCGGUUCGACUCCGGCGGCCUUCCGCCA